rnacentral:rRNA from 1 species
UAGUUUUGUCUCGUUACCUCCACCGUUAGUCGGCCUAAAAAGGUGUUUGACACGUAUACAUCACGUUCACCGUGUAGAACUUCUUCCGAUUCCUCACGUACUCCUGUGACACGUGUUUCUUCUUGUUCAAGUCUCGACUCAAGAUAUUUUACCGCUUGGUGUACGACUGUCAUAUAGACAUCUACUCAAGUUCAGUCGGACCCGAUACAACGAACUAUUUAUAUUGGAGUCCAUCGUGGACAUGUACUGUGUCUAAAUACUAUACUCUCUUUUCACCCGCUUCGGAAUAAAGUUCCCACACAAUACAAGACCCGAUACAUCGUGUACUUGACCGUUUUACCCGGUAUAAACGGGGAGGAUCAUAAACCCAUCUGAGUCGAGGUCUCCUGAACUAAGUGUACAAGACAAGACCCGAUACAUCGCGUACUUGACAGUACUUACUUAUUUUGUCCUCACUUUGAAAAUUUUUUACCGGCACAAGAAACGCUUCUACUGUUCGUGGGUUACCUCACUCUCCCACUUGGUAUACGACUUCUAUACGCACGGCGGACGGUCGGGCUACGUGUACAAACAGUCCGUCAUAUACUCUGAAGUCAAACUGUCCCUCCCUCUCCUCUCGAUACUCCUCUUUUUUUUGAUACUAACCACCACAACACUCCUCAUGUUUGGAACUCUAGCUCUCUGUACGCUCGUUCAACAUGGGUUCUCGGUACAAUGACUCGAACUCUUUCCAGCUGUCAUAGACUGUUGGGUGUUAUUACGAAGUUUCGCCCUCUCUAACUCGUCCCACCACAUGCUCAAGUACUCAUUCCUGUCUCCAAGGGUUAAGCUCACGCUCACGCCCGUAAAACUUGUGUGUCCGUACGAUACAACAGUACACUUUCCCUCCUGUCACCGCACAUGUAACACGUGAUGCCGGCGCUCAAGUGACUCAACACGGAGGCCAGUGGCGACUCGUCCCAUUCUACGUUCUUGUCGUCGGACCUUCGGACCUUCUACGUUCUUGUCGUCGGAACUUCCAGUGACGGCCAUGUGGACGUGGUGUGGUCCGGAGAACCUCCCGGAGACAAGACUUCACGUAAACACAUAACACCGCUAAACUAAACUCCUAAAAGAUCACACAAGCCACUCGAGACGAGGUGCGAACAAGGAGACAUCUGACAUCAACUUAAGGCCAUUACAACACCGUAAUUAAAUCAAACGGUAGACAAGCCUGAAACCUUUUUUUAACUGACGUACAGUGGUACGGCAUACGUGACUAUUCACAGUAAACAAGUCUGUACUAAUGGUGCACAUUCGAGCACACGGACCCGUCGUCGACGGCCCCUCUAU